rnacentral:tRNA from 2 species
UAUGGCAGAUUAGUGCAAUGGAUUUAAAAUCCUAUUAUAAAGAUUAAUUCUUUUAUUAAAAA